UCCUACGGGAGGCAGCAGUGGGGAAUAUUGCACAAUGGGCGCAAGCCUGAUGCAGCCAUGCCGCGUGUAUGAAGAAGGCCUUCGGGUUGUAAAGUACUUUCAGCAGUGAGGAAGGUGGAUAUGUUAAUAGCAUAUUCAUUUGACGUUAGCUGCAGAAGAAGCACCGGCUAACUCCGUGCCAGCAGCCGCGGUAAUACGGAGGGUGCGAGCGUUAAUCGGAAUUACUGGGCGUAAAGCGCAUGCAGGUGGUUUGUUAAGUCAGAUGUGAAAGCCCGGGGCUCAACCUCGGAAUUGCAUUUGAAACUGGCAAACUAGAGUACUGUAGAGGGGGUAGAAUUUCAGGUGUAGCGGUGAAAAUGCGUAGAGAUCUGAAGGAAUACCGGUGGCGAAGGCGGCCCCCUGGACAGAUACUGACACUCAGAUGCGAAAGCGUGGGGAGCAAACAGGAUUAGAUACCCUGGUAG
rnacentral:rRNA from 1 species